GAACGAACGCUGGCGGCGUGCCUAACACAUGCAAGUCGAACGAGAAAGUUUCCUUCGGGAAACCAGUAAAGUGGCGCAAGGGUGAGUAACACGUGAAUAAUCUGCCUAUGAAUUCGGGAUAACUCGGCGAAAGUUGUGCUAAUACCGGAUAAGACCACGUUUCUAAUGUAACGUGGCCAAAGGAACCUCAAGUUCCGUUUAUAGAUGAGUUCGCGGACCAUUAGCUAGUUGGAGGGAUAAUAGCCCCCCAAGGCUUCGAUGGUUAGCCGGCCUGAGAGGGUGAUCGGCCACACUGGAACUGAGACACGGUCCAGACUCCUACGGGAGGCAGCAGUGGGGAAUAUUGCGCAAUGGGCGAAAGCCUGACGCAGCAACGCCGCGUGAGGGAUGAAGGAUUUUGGUUCGUAAACCUCUGUCAGAUGGGAAGAAUAAUGACGGUACCAUCAAAGGAAGCCCCGGCUAACUCCGUGCCAGCAGCCGCGGUAAUACGGAGGGGGCAAGCGUUGUUCGGAAUUAUUGGGCGUAAAGCGUAUGUAGGCGGUUGGACAAGUCAGACGUGUAAGCCCGUGGCUCAACCUGGGAACUGCAUUCCAAACUGCAAAACUAGAGUAUGGUAGAGGAGAGUGGAAUUUCAGGUGUAGCGGUGAAAUGCGUAGAUAUCUGAAGGAACACCAGUGGCGAAGGCGGCUCUCUGGACCAACACUGACGCUGAGGUGCGAAAGCGUGGGUAGCAAACGGGAUUAGAUACCCCGGUAGUCCACGCCGUAAACGAUGUCAACUAACUGUUGGGCGGGUUUCCGCUUAGUGGUGCAGCUAACGCAAUAAGUUGACCGCCUGGGAGGAGUACGGCCGCAAGGCUAAAACUCAAAUGAAUUGACGGGGGCCCGCACAAGCGGUGGAGCAUGUGGUUUAAUUCGAUGCAACGCGAAGAACCUUACCUACCCUUGACAUACAGAGAACUUUCCAGAGAUGGAUUGGUGCCUUCGGGAACUCUGAUACAGGUGCUGCAUGGCUGUCGUCAGCUCGUGUCGUGAGAUGUUGGGUUAAGUCCCGUAACGAGCGCAACCCUUAUCCUUAAUUGCUACCAAUUUAGUUGGGCACUCAUGCGAGACUGCCGGUGAUAAGCCGGAGGAAGGCGGGGAUGACGUCAAGUCCUCAUGGCCCUUAUAAGUGGGGCUACACACGUGCUACAAUGGCGGUGACAGAGGGAAGCAAAGCGGUGACGCUGAGCCAACCCCUAAAAACCGUCUCAGUUCGGAUUGCACUCUGCAACUCGAGUGCAUGAAGUUGGAAUCGCUAGUAAUCGCGGAUCAGCAUGCCGCGGUGAAUACGUUCCCGGGCCUUGUACACACCGC
rnacentral:rRNA from 1 species